CAUGCUCAGUCCUGUUUUCAGCUAGGAGCCUGUGUCUGACCUUGGAGCAUCCUAGAGAGCUGGUACAUCACACCGUGCAUGCUUACAAUGCCUGCGAGACACCCAAGGCAGACCACAGAGCUGGUACAUCACACCAUAUGCUUGCAAUGCCUGUGAGGACACCCAAGGCAGACCACAGAGCUGGUACAUCACACCGCACAUGCCUACAAUGCCUGCGAGGACACCCAAGGCAGACCACAGAGCUGGUACAUCACACCGCAUUCUUAAAAUGCCUGCGAGGACACCCAAGGCAGACCACAGAGCUGCUACAUCACACUGCAUGCUUACAAUGCCUGCGAGGACACCCAAGGCAGACCACAGCGCAGGUCUCAAAACCACCAUCCGGGCACCGAAAACCCUGAACUUACAAUGCCAGCUCUCUUACAUCUCUUACGGGAGCCUGGCAGCAUUGGCAAUGCUAUUUUCCUUCCUGUUGCAGUGAUAUGAUUAGGGUAUGCCUGGAGGGAAUAAUGGUUCCAAAAACAUAGAAAGAAAAUUUGAAAUAAAAUAAGAAUUCAUAUCAAUAAUAGAUAAGGCUUAUGCAAACCUGGGUUUAGAAACACUUGUGUAUAUUCGAAAUGAGAAGUUAGACAGGAGUUUAGUGAAGUGUUUCUUUUAUCUUGCCAGUUUCAUUCCUUUUUUGUAUACAUAGUCAUGUCUCAGUAUCAGUCGGGGACUGGUUCCAGGACAUCUUGGAUGUGGAAGUCCUUGAUAUAAAAUUGUGUGG
rnacentral:lncRNA from 10 species